GAUGAACGCUGGCGGCGUGCCUAACACAUGCAAGUCGAACGUGAGGAAAUAGCAAUAUUUCUGAAAGUGGCGCACGGGUGAGUAAGACGUAGGUGACCUGCCUUGAAGCGGGGGAUAACAGCUGGAAACGGUUGCUAAUACCGCAUAUGGCCGGGCUGCUGGGAAGCAAUCCGGUGAAAACUCUGGUGCUUCAAGAGGGGCCUGCGGCCGAUUAGCUAGUUGGCGGGGUAAGCGCCCACCAAGGCGACGAUCGGUAGCUGGUCUGAGAGGACGAUCAGCCACACGGGAACUGAGACCUGGUCCCGACUCCUACGGGGGGCAGCAGUGAGGAAUAUUGGGCAAUGGGCGCAAGCCUGACCCAGCAACGCCGCGUGGAGGAAGACGGCCUUCGGGUUGUAAACUCCUUUUACGGGGGAAGAGGAAGGACGGUACCCCGAGAAUAAGUCACGGCUAACUACGUGCCAGCAGCCGCCGCCGUAA
rnacentral:rRNA from 1 species